rnacentral:lncRNA from 1 species
AUCGCCACAGCAGCAGCAUAGGAGAGGACGUGGUCACACGACGGGAUUUUUAUCGGCCUCGGUAGAAGAAGCGUUGCCUAUGUUUACACAAUAUAUGUGUUAGUUCACUCCACUUAUUUCGGUUCAUUUCACUAACCCCAUAUUUUUUUCACAAGCACCAUCACAUAACGGACCACCACCAUAAGUGGUUAGUUCUUUUGUUCCCUCAGGUACAUAUUUCCUUGCACUGACGUCCCCCGCAUACUUCACCCUUAUUUUGUCAUCGAUGCUGACCUAGAU